rnacentral:rRNA from 1 species
AUUGAACGCUGGCGGCAGGCCUAACACAUGCAAGUCGAGCGGAUGAAGGGAGCUUGCUCCUGGAUUCAGCGGCGGACGGGUGAGUAAUGCCUAGGAAUCUGCCUGGUAGUGGGGAUUAAGUCCGGGAAAGGGCGCUAAUUCCGCCUACGUCCUUAGGGAGGAAAUGGGGGGUCUUCGGACCCCACGCCUUCCGAUUGGCCUAGGUCGGAUUAGCUAGUUGGUGGGGUAAAGGCCUACCAAGGCGACGAUCCGUAACUGGUCUGAGAGGAUGAUCAGUCACACUGGAACUGAGACACGGUCCAGACUCCUACGGGAGGCAGCAGUGGGGAAUAUUGGACAAUGGGCGAAAGCCUGAUCCAGCCAUGCCGCGUGUGUGAAGAAGGUCUUCGGAUUGUAAAGCACUUUAAGUUGGGAGGAAGGGCAGUAAGUUAAUACCUUGCUGUUUUGACGUUACCAACAGAAUAAGCACCGGCUAACUUCGUG